rnacentral:rRNA from 1 species
UAUUUGAGGUGAGACCUGCCCAGUGCUAAUUGUUAACGGCCGCAGUACCUUGACUGUGCUAAGGUAGCAUAAUCAGUUGGCUUUUAAAUGGAGUCGGGAAUGAAUGGAUUAAUAGGGUAAAGCUGUCUCUUCUAUAUUAUAUUGAAUUUUUUUAUUAGGUGAAAAUACCUAAGGUUAGAAAAAAGACGAGAAGACCCUAGGAGUUUUAAUUAAAAGCUAAUUUAAGGCUUACAUUUUUGUUGGGGCGACAUUGGAGUAGUUGAAACCUCCUUUAGAUAAUAUGCCGACUUAGUAUGAAAAUAUAAACUACCCUAGGGAUAACAGCGUAAUUCUUUUUGAGCUUGCGACCUCGAUGUUGGACUAGGAAUUUGAUGGGUUAGCCGCCUAUUUAUAUUGUUCUGUUCGAAC